AAAAAGAAAAAGCUAUCAUUUUUCUCUUCCCCUUCACAAAAAUAUGCAGCACAGAAAGGGUUUUGAAGUUGGAAAAUUUCAGCAACAUAUUUCCCUUGCUUGUAAGUGAUUUUAAUGUCUUUGCUUGAUGAUUUUUGUAUUUUUGGAACCCCUAAAGCAUAAGCUUUCAUAAGAGGGGAUUAUUUUGCAAAAUGAUGAAGAGUCUAGGGUUUUACCAUGAGAGUAAAUGUGUUGUUUGCUGUGUUUUUAUGGAAGAUUAUGAGUUCUAGUUGUCUAAUAAACAACUUUUGUGAAAGAAAUUGCAUGAAAAUACCUUAAAAAGGGGUAAAUUGCUAAGUUGUAAAAUGAGUUGUAAAUGUGUAAAAUAGUUGAAAUUAUGAGUUGUUAUAGUUAUGAAAAUGGUUCAUCUAGACUCAAGGAGUAAAGAAAUGUGAUAAAAAUUAAUUUACGAGCAUUGGGGCAAAAGUGCAAAUAUGUAAAAGUUUAGGGGUCAAAAUAAAAAUUUGUAAAAAUAUGAUUUUUAGACCCAUAUGAAUAUUGUGACUGAUUGGUAGGCUAAAUGUGAUGUUAUAGAUGAUGAAAAUUGAGAUUUGGACCUAGAACGGAAAGAAAUCGAUUUAUGGACGAGUAUGUCUUUUCACCGUUGUGGUAUCGAGGUAAGUUCAUGUGUAAAUAAUGUAGCAUAAUUGUUAUUUUUAAGUUAUUGAUGUUAAAUAUAUGAUAUGCUGAUUUUUAUCAUGAAAUAUAUGCUUUGUGGUUAUUUUCGAAUAAAAUGCAAGUUAUGUGUAUUAUCUGUUAAAUAUAAAGUGCUACCGAGUAUUGGUUUCGGUAUUUUACGGAAGAUGGCAAGGAUAUGUGUUCGAGGAAAAUCCCGUUUGAACCUUAGGAAUAGAUUAGGAUACAAGUGACAUGUCACUAGGAUGGUUGAGCAUCCAAACUCGUUGAGUUGAGUCCGAGUUCACUUAUGGAUGCGAAUGUUCGAACUCGUUGAGUUGAGUCUGAGUUCGUGAGAUGUAACUAGGCAUCCGAGCUCGUUGAGUUGAGUCCGAGUUCACUUAUGGAUGCGAACGCCCGAGCUCGUUGAGUUGAGUCCGAGUUCACUUAUGGGCGGGUUACAUGGUAGCUUGGCUACAUAUGUGGCACUUAUGUGCAAACUUUUCAUGUAUCCGAAUUAUAUUCCGAUGUGUUCAAUGGGUAAAAUUCUACUCAAAUGGAAGAAUACUCGAGAUGAAAGGGACGUAUUGGUAAAUGUUGUGAAAUGGAUACUUUGAACAGGUAUGUACUUAACCCUCGUGUUGAAAACUCGACAUAACAACAAUAUGGUAAGAUGGUAAAUGAAAAUGUGAUAUGAAUGUCUCGGUGAUGAUUAUACAAACGAUGUUGUAUUAAUUUUGUGAACAAUGAUCAUGAAUGAGUAAUUUAGCCUUGACAGAUUUGAGUUACUGCAGUAGUGUAACUUUGAAAAUACACUAAAAAUAGUGGAAAAUAAGUUAGAGGCAGAAUAAAAUAUGGGAUUAAAGCUCAACGAGUCUAUUUUCACAUGAAAGAAACAGAGAAGAAAAAGAAUUCCAUAUUGUGUGAUAUUUGAAUUCUUGUGAAACAGGGUCUGAAUGAAUUCGAGAUCCCCUAUUCUAACUUUAUAAAUUCACCAAAAAUUUUACAAAAAUUUUUAAGAGUUAUACCUUACAUGCAUAUAUUCAUUAUUGAGUCUAUUUUUAUGGAAAAUAAACGGCAUGGUCGUUGGAAUUUUGUACAGGGAGAAAUUCGGUUUGUAGUGCACAGGGGUCAGAGUGGUCAUACCCUGAAAUAGGGGAGACUUUAACUAAUAAACUGUACUAUUUGGCUUAACCAAAAAUUCUGGAAAUUUUAUGGAAGAAAUUAAAAUAAGUCUAUUUUUAGGGAAAAUUAACGGAACUUAAUUCGGAGUUUAGUAGCUCCAGAUAUAAAUAAUUUAGUGACUGUUGCUCAGGAAGACAACUUGUAGUGAACUUGAGAAUAUGUUGUAAACAUUGAUAAAACAAGUUAAUGAGUUGCUUAUUGUUUUCAUAUGAACUUACUAAGCGAAAGCUUACCCCCCUUCUUUCCCAUGGUUUUUAGAGUUUCCAGGUUAGCUCGGGUUGGAGGCCGUCAGAGAUAUUAUCACCCUAUCGAGUUAACGUUAUCGGAGUAAGUAAAAUCAAGUGAUUCGAGUCUAUGGCAUGUAUAGGGUUUUAAUGUGAGUAUGUAAUAUUAUGAUCUAGCCAAAGGCAUUGGCUUGUUAUUAAG
rnacentral:lncRNA from 1 species